CAGGGUUUCCCUUUGAGGUAUGUGAACAUUCCAAAGUCGGGGUACUGGCUGCAAACUCUGUGUAUACACGAAACGCCAAUGGAUGGUACACUUUAAAUGGGUGAGCUGUUUGACAUGUGAACUCUAACUCGAUAAGCCGUGGAAACAACACUGAAACCCUCUUGUCUGGCUGGCUGGCUGGCACCCAGUAUGCAUUGGGUGAGAGUCUAAGGAUCCCGAAUAAUCAAGGCCUGUGGUCUGGGUGUUGCCAUUUUGAAGGAAGGGUGUCUCUGGUCUCCUGUGGAAGCCCCAGUCUGGUAUGGUCAUCCUCAGGCAGCCCCUUGGGCAGGGUUCACAGCUGCCGCACAUUGCUGGGCCCUGACAGGAGGGCGAGCUAGGUGUGCGUGUCCCAGCUUGCCAAUCAGGAAACUCAGGCAUGUGAGGUCAGGCAACCAGCCGACCUCCCUCACCGACCUCAUUCACCAAGACAAGUGGCAGCCAAGAAUAGCGCAGGGUUUCUAACUGUGUCUCACUUGCCGUAAACACCCAGCGCCGCCGCCCAUCAUCUGUCUGAUUAAAAAAGGGACCAUAAACGAUGAAGCAGGGCAGUGGCCCUUAAAGCUAUAUUGGGCUCAGGCCGGUAGAGGAAUGAAUCCGUCCCGCCUUCCAGUCCACACAGAGCAGUGGGGAAGGACCUGCCUGGACCCCUGUCAGCAGCACGGGUUGGCCUCUCUGGACCCGAGUGCAGAGAUGCAGCUCAUUCGCUCAGAUGUGUUUUCUUGCAUUUAAUACUUUUCAUCUUCCUGGGUCAGCGGGCCUGUGAUGAGUCACGUUCAGCCCCACGCCAGGGGCCUUCUGCGCGGCAGUCCGCAGAAGAGCAGGGAUGGGCAGUCUGGUAGAACUGGAGUGUGGAGAGGCCGGGGGUGGUGUAGCCAAAUGAGCAGUGACCCAGCAAGGUCACCAGACGGCUGUUUGAAACCCUCCCAGUUCUGCAACUUCCCAGCCGAGUGACCUCCAGCAGGUCCUGCAGCCCCUUCUGAGGGCCAGUUUCCUCAACUCUGAAAGUUCCCCUUCUACACUCGUAUGUGCUCGGCGGUGGCAGGAAGGGCCCUCCAGCACCAGAGCAUGCGCUCUGCAUGUGUGUUGUUGCGGGGCUGAGUGGUGGGCUAAGGAUUUGGGGUGGGUCUGUUUGGAUGGUAUGUGUGCACAGUAACCUGUUGCUACCUCCAAUAUUUGCCCUAAUCCAAUGCCCAGACCCCAGCCAGGUGCGAAACAGUGUCUGUGGGGACAGCCGGGCACGACAGAUGAUGACCGAGAGAGAAAUCAAGCCGGAGGUGAGAUAGCACAUGUGGGCCGAUAGAAAUGUCCCCUGGGGUCUGAGAGUGCCUCCAGCCAUGGCCUUUCUGUGGUUCCCUCUGAGCUGUCCCGCUCUUGGCCCAACAACAAGUGGGGUUUCCUCUGUGGGCUCAAGACCUCACCGGCAGGGAGCCCGAGUCCAGAGGCUGGACUCUCUCCAGAGGCGACAGUCAGUCUGUGUGUAGAGUCACAGCGCUCCUGCUUCUCUCCGGCAUUGUGGGGCAGGCGGGCCUGGCCCGGCCCUGACAGCUGGCUCUCCCAGGCCCCGCUCCAGCAGGGGACCUUGCGACAGCUGGCUCGAGUCUGGUGUCUGUGUCUCAUCCCAGUCUGGGACUUCUAAAUUUAACCUGCUAUCAGCUUGAGAGGCAGGAGGGCUUCCACUGUGACUAAAUGCCACUUGGAACCCUCUUCAUUCAUGGCCACCCUCCUGGCGCAUUCCCCUCUGGAACGUUCCCCACCCCCCAGUGCGCGCCACCAUCUGCGCGUCGUCAGCCGCGUCGGCCGGAAGGCCCAAAUGGCUGAGCAACCCUGGCUUUGUCCCGCCGCUGGCUAGACCGGCACCCCUGUUGUCCACAAGUGCACGUGUGCACACACACACACACACGCACGCAGGCACGCACACACACCCCAUGCUCUCUCAUAGGCAGAGCUUGGGAGCCGACACCACAACCAAAAGCCAAACCACCACAGUGAACUGUACCACCCAUAAGCCAUCUGGGUGGAGGGCGGCCAGCAGAGCCUGUUAUGCAAUUUCCUGCUUUGGUGUCUCAGACCCAGGAGACAGGAUGCAGAAUGCCGUUGGGUUGUUACAAUGCGGAAAACCCAGAGAAGAAAACCAAUUCCCGAUGCCCACAGUGAACGGGGUCCCUUGUCCUCCGUGGCAACGCCAAGAGGCUGCUGGCACCCCUGGAGGAUGAGCCCGUGGUCUGCAGCCAACCGGGCAGCCCUCCCACCAAAGGGAACAGGCUGGACUCACUAUGCAUGGCCUUGAGCAGCUUCUCGACUUCUGCUGUCCUCUAGUUUCCUCAUCUGUGAAAUGGGGACCCUAAGAACACCCGGGUUGUUAACACCUGGAAACCAAGUAGACCAGCGUGUGUUCACCACGUCAGCUAGAAGGCAACGACUCGGAGAAUCCCGACUUUCCAUACAAGGUAAAGGGGGCUCAGAGGGGCUCAGUGUCUUACCCAAACUCAUGCAAGUUGCCUUGACUCCACAGUCCACCUUCAGAGCCCACACCCACCUCCCAUCCUUUCAUAAGAAAGUUCUAAUUAGAAGAAAGCAUUUACAACGAGGGCCAUGACUCCACGCCACCCCCUUUCGCUUUCGUCGGCAGCUGACUGAGGGCAGGGCACAGAGCCAUGUUCUGGACUGACACCGUCCCGGCAGCUGUUUCUCCGUGUGAAGACAGGUUUGCAGGCCCGUGGGCAUCUGAACACUAACUCCCCAUCAUGUGGGUUUCUACUGUUUGCCAAAAAACCAAGCUGCCCCCAGGUCCUGCCUCCACACAGGGCACCAGCCGGGGCACUCUGGGCGGGGACUUGAGGUCCCAGGGCUGCAGACAGCAGAGGAUGUGUGAACAAAGUGGCCCACCUCCAAGUAUGCUCACUCCCGUGGCCAGAACACCAUCGACCCCAAAAUGAACCACCACUUCAGAAAACACUUCAGAAACAUCCAGAUCCUAGCCAGGCCUACUUUAAAAUUACAUUUUAUUUCUCUUUGUGAA